UUAAAAUGUACUAUUUUACUUUUUUCUUUUUUCCAUGAUCUAAACAUUUUUGAAUUAAUUAUAAUUUUAAUAAAAUAAAUUAAUUAAGUAUACAUUAAAAUAAUACAUACAAUGUAUCAUACAAAUAAGCACUUUCUAUUCUUAUAAACGAAAUACUCACGCGUUCAACGGCACAUCAACCGAUAACUGGACAUUUGGAAUGCCCCUUUUGUCUUCACGAUAAUUAUGACUAUGUAAUGCGUGAAAGUUAUGACGUUGCAGUUCAUGCAACGCCUCAAUGUACCCCCACCCGUUGAAAAUGGCGAGACAACGCGAGAAACGAUGACAUUACAUGGCAUUCUGAGCAAAUGGAUAAACAUAAAACAACUUACGCUGCUAGAGAAGGUGUUGUUCGUGUUCCGGACUCAGUGAGAUGCGUAUGAAUUGGCGGUGUAACGAUGGAAGGGGUUGAAAUAGAUUUCUGGAGAGACAAUCUUCUGAUAUUCACUCUGUGACAGGAAAGUACAUACGUAUAUUACUAUACCUGUAUUUUUGACCAAUGUUUCUAAUCUAAAAUUACCUGCACAAGGUCUGCCUCAUUUAAGGAAUGAGUACUU